AAUGGUUGUUCUGUUGAGAUUAUUGAUUUAUUGUGCAUCCAUUUAGAAUUUGUUAGUCAAAGUUCAGGUCAAAGUUAAGGAAAAGUUGACCAUGAACUCCAUAGUUAGUCGGGGUCUGUGGUCGGCGCGACUCGUUCUAGGACUAGUAGGUGUUUUGGGACGACUCGUGUCAGUUUGGUAUCAGAGCAUAAAGAUCCUGCAUUAGAUAAGAAGUUGCAUUAUAGUUCAUGUUUUGAGUGUUUGAUAUGCAUUACGUUAUAGAAAGUCAUGCAUUGAGGUGGCAGAAUACGUAAGUUUUAAGAAUUUGAAACUCAGCAGGUACCUGGUGGGUGAAGUGAAAUGGAGGAAGAAGUAGUAGGCGAGACUAGUCUCCAACUAGAAGAUCCACAAGAGAAUAUUAAUGACCAAGAUGAACGGGUGAUGGCAAGAAUUGCUACUCUUGGAAUAAGAAUGUUGAGGAGUGAUCCCGAGAAAAACUUCAAGAUUUAGCGACUUAAAGCUUUAGGGGCGACCACUUUUUCUGGGACAGCAGAUCCAAUUGAUGCAGAGUCCUGGAUGAAAAAGAUAGAAAAAUGUUUUAAUAUGAUGGGGUGUCUACAAGACAAGAAAGUUAGGUUGGCUACAUUUCUACUAGAAGGAGGAGCUGGUGAUUGGUGGGAGUCGGUUAUAGUGAGACAACCACGAUCUAAAGAAUUAAGAUGGGGAGAAUUCAAAAAAUUGUUUAAUGAAGCAUACUACCCACGAUCCUACAGAAAUGCGAAAAGAAUUGAGUUCUUAAAGCUAGUAUAGGAGUUGAUGACAGUUGCAGAAUACUAGAAAAAAUAUGUAGAACUUUCAAAGCAUGUUAUCACUAUAAUUGAGGAUGGAUUAACAGGUGUAGACGAUUUGAGGAUGGGUUGCGAGAAAAGAUUCGAAGUCGUAUUACUGCAUCUGGAUAGCAUGAGUUUGGGCAUUUAGUAGAAGCGGCUGCUAGGACUGAGAAGAAGAAAGGAAUUGUCAUGCCAUCCAGAUGCAGUAAUACGACUUCGGAUCUCUUAUCGCAACCCAUCCUCAAAUCGUCUACACCUGUCAAUCUCAUCCUCGAUUAUAGCGGUGGCAUACUUUGAAAGUUUUACAUAUUUUUCUGGUCUUCUGCAACUGUCAUCGACCCCUGUACUAGCAUUAGGAACUCACUUCUUUUUGCAUCUCUGUAGGAUCGUGGGUAGUAUGCUUCAUUAAACAAUUUUUUGAAUUCUCCCCGGCUUAAUUCUUCUGAUCCUGAUUGUCUCACUAUAACCGAUUCCCACCACUCAUCAGCUCCUCCUUCUAGCCGAGAUGUAGCCUGUCACGCCCCGCGUUACUCAGGUGUGAACCGGGCCGACCGUGGUGAUGACGUGGAGGAGGUCUGACUGAGGAGGGAUCACUAGCUGCGUUAGUUAGGCUAGGGAAUAAUGUUGUGCAAUACAGACACCGUUAAAAUCUUAUUGCUAUGAAAUAAAAUGGGAAUUAGACAUUGGGUUAACUCAAAGGACACUUUCUCUUAUUGCUUUAUGGGUAUUUUUACUAUUCGAAUUACUGAUGUAUUUGGGAUUACGAGACAAAACGAUUAUUUUCUUUUUUUAUUGGAUUCCUGACCACUGAGGCGGAUGUUAUCUCA